UUGAGAGGCAUCUCUUAAAUAUCAAAGGUGAGCCAGUACAGGAUGGACCCGCGUCUGAUUAGCUAGUUGGUAAGGUAACGGCUUACCAAGGCGACGAUCAGUAGCCGACCUGAGAGGGUGAUCGGCCACAUUGGAACUGAGACACGGUCCAAACUCCUACGGGCGGCAGCAGUGGGGAAUAUUGCACAAUGGGCGAAAGCCUGAUGCAGCAACGCCGCGUGAGUGAUGAAGGCCUUCGGGUCGUAAAACUCUGUCCUCAAGGAAGAUAAUGACGGUACUUGAGGAGGAAGCCCCGGCUAACUACGUGCCAGCAGCCGCGGUAAUACGUAGGGGGCUAGCGUUAUCCGGA
rnacentral:rRNA from 1 species